UACGUAGGGGCCUAGCGUUGUCCGGAUUUAUUGGGCGUAAAGAGCUCGUAGGCGGUGUGUCGCGUCGGCCGUGAAAACCUGGGGCUCAACUCUGGGCGUGCGGUCGAUACGGGCAUCACUUGAGUUCGGCAGGGGAGACUGGAAUUCCUGGUGUAGCGGUGAAAUGCGCAGAUAUCAGGAGGAACACCGGUGGCGAAGGCGGGUCUCUGGGCCGAUACUGACGCUGAGGAGCGAAAGCAUGGGUAGCGAACAGG
rnacentral:rRNA from 1 species